rnacentral:rRNA from 1 species
CACGUAGGGCGCGAGCGUUGUCCGGAAUUAUUGGGCGUAAAGAGCUCGUAGGCGGCCUGUUGCGUCCGCUGUGAAAGCCCGGGGCUUAACCCCGGGUCGGCAGUGGAUACGGGCAGGCUAGAGGUAGGUAGGGGAGAAUGGAAUUCCCGGUGUAGCGGUGAAAUGCGCAGAUAUCGGGAGGAACACCGGUGGCGAAGGCGGCCUGCUGGGCAGUAGCUGACACUGAGGCGCGACAGCGUGGGGAGCAAACAGG